AACGUACGCUGGCGGCGUGGAUAAGACAUGCAAGUCGAACGGGACAAGUUUAGUAGCAAUACCGAGCUUGUCUAGUGGCGCAAGGGUGCGUAACACGUGGGCAAUCUACCGAGAAGUGGGGGAUAGCUCGCCGAAAGGCGAAUUAAUACCGCAUGUGGCCGGGAAGGGCAUCCUUCCCACGUCAAAGCUGGGGAUCUUCGGACCUGGCGCUUCUUGAUGAGCCCGCGGCCUAUCAGCUUGUUGGUGAGGUAAUGGCUCACCAAGGCUAUGACGGGUAACUGGCCUGAGAGGGUAUACAGUCACACUGGAACUGAGACACGGUCCAGACACCUACGGGUGGCAGCAGUCGAGAAUCAUUCGCAAUGGGGGAAACCCUGACGGUGCGACGCCGCGUGGAGGAUGAAGGUCUUAGGAUCGUAAACUCCUGUCAUGAGGGAGCAAAGCUUCGAAGUUAAUAACUACUGAAGUCUGAUAGUACCUCAAGAGGAAGAGACGGCUAACUCUGUGCCAGCAGCCGCGGUAAUACAGGGGUCUCAAGCGUUGUUCGGAUUCAUUGGGCGUAAAGGGAGCGUAGGCGGUGCUGUAAGUCGGAUGUGAAAUCCCGGGGCUCAACCUCGGAACUGCAUUCGAUACUGCAGUGC
rnacentral:rRNA from 1 species